AAGUCGUAACAAGGUUUUCCUUCCGGUUAAAGCUAUUAACCUAUUGAAGCCUGACGUGGGCGACUAUAAAAAUAACCAUGGAGUUCGGUCUUUAACGGACUGAACAACACCGCCGAAAUGCUGUGAUCAACUAUUGUUGUACCAGCAGCCCUCUUAUAGGGCCCACAGAUCAAGCCGCGGUGAUCCCACCCUGGAGUAUUUAGGGUAGGACUAUAAUAUGACCGGUCUCACCUGAGAUGGCUGAGAAAACACGUUCCGUAGGUGAACCUGCGGAAGGAUCAUUACCGAGUUAGGGUCUUA
rnacentral:misc_RNA from 1 species